AUUGAACGCUGGCGGCGUGCCUAACACAUGCAAGUCGAGCGGUAACGCGGGAGCAAUCCUGGCGACGAGCGGCGAACGGGUGAGUAAUGCUUCGGAAUCUGCCCAGUAGUGGGGAAUAACCAACCGAAAGGUUGGCUAAUGCCGCAUACGACCCCUUUCCACAUCGGGGAGGGAUGAAAGCGGGGGAUCGUAAGACCUCGCGCUAUUGGAUGAGCCGAAGUCGGAUUAGCUAGUUGGUAGGGUAACGGCCUACCAAGGCGACAAUCCGUAGCUGGUC
rnacentral:rRNA from 1 species